rnacentral:rRNA from 1 species
CCUACGGGAGGCAGCAGUGGGGAAUUUUGGACAAUGGGGGCAACCCUGAUCCAGCCAUGCCGCGUGCGGGAAGAAGGCCUUCGGGUUGUAAACCGCUUUUAGUCGGGAAGAAAAGGCCUGGGCGAAUACCCUGGGUUUUUGACGGUACCGGCGGAAUAAGCACCGGCUAACUACGUGCCAGCAGCCGCGGUAAUACGUAGGGUGCGAGCGUUAAUCGGAAUUACUGGGCGUAAAGCGUGCGCAGGCGGUUCGCUGUGUCCGAUGCGAAAGCCCCGGGCUUAACCUGGGAAUGGCAUUGGAAACUGGCGGGCUUGAGUGUGGCAGAGGGGGGUGGAAUUCCGCGUGUAGCAGUGAAAUGCGUAGAGAUGCGGAGGAACACCGAUGGCGAAGGCAGCCCCCUGGGCUAACACUGACGCUCAGGCACGAAAGCGUGGGGAGCAAACAGGAUUAGAUACCCUGGUAGUCCACGCCCUAAACCAUGUCAACUGGGUGUUCGGGAAGCGAUUCCUGAGUACCGUAGCUAACGCGUGAAGUUGACCGCCUGGGGAGUACGGCCGCAAGGUUAAAACUCAAAGGAAUUGACGG